GAAAAUACUCCAAAAUACUAGAGACCUUUGACCAACUGUUAGGGCUAGGAAUGGCAUUUUUAAUUUCUUUGUAAAAUGUUCAAUAUUUUGUACUUUCUACUUUUAUUUAUUUUUUAUUUUUUUCAUGAAGGUGGUACCCAUGGAGAUCGGAGGACAGCGGUGUCAGGAGCCAGUUCUCUUCUUCCAUCAAGUGGGUUCCAUUGAUCCCACUCUAUCUUGUCGUUCUCCACAGUAAUCACCUUUACCCACUGAGCAAUCUCCCCAGCUCUUACUCUGUAUUUUCUAAAAGUAACAUAUAUUAUUUAAAUCGAAAAAAAAAAAGAAGACAAAACCCUAAAAUCUCUCCAGAACCAGAACCAACAACACUAAUCAUUGUAAACCAGAUUAAAAUGGUACUAAAUCAUUUUAUAAGACUUAAGAGUUGGGCUUGGAGAGAUGGCUCAGUGGCUAAGAUCACUGACUGUGCUUCCAGAGGACCUGGGUUCAAUUCCCAGCACCCACAUUUUGGUUCACAGACAACUUUUAACUCUAGUUCCUGGGGGAUCCAGCAUCCUCUCUGGCCUCUCUAAGCUCUGCACACAUACAUGGAGCACAGAUAUGCUCACCGGUAAGACACCCACAUACAUAAAAACUAGAAAAAAAAUAUAAGUA
rnacentral:lncRNA from 1 species